CCUUCACCCAGAGGCAUUGCAGGUGUGGCUGCUGUGUCACAUGUUCAUCAGUAAGAAGCAGAAAGGGGACAGGCUAUUUCUAAGCUCAGUGUUCUGACCCAUAAACACCUGAAUAAUUAACAGUCUAACAUU